CUAACGCGUUAAGUAUCCCACCUGGGGAGUACGUUCGCAAGAAUGAAACUCAAAGGAAUUGACGGGGGCCCGCACAAGCGGUGGAGCAUGUGGUUUAAUUCGAUGCAAAGCGAAGAACCUUACUAGGGUUUGACAUGCCGCGAAUCCUCUUGAAAGAGAGGGGUGCCCUCGAGAACACGGACACAGGUGGUGCAU
rnacentral:rRNA from 1 species